GACGAACGCUGGCGGCGUGCCUAACACAUGCAAGUCGAGCGAGGAACUUCGGUUCCUAGCGGCGGACGGGUGAGUAACACGUGGGUAACCUGGCUCAUAGAGGGGGAUAGCCUUCCGAAAGGGAGAUUAAUACCGCAUAAGAAGCGAGAAUCGCAUGGUUCUAGCUUUAAAGGAGUAAUCCGCUAUGAGAUGGGCCCGCGGCGCAUUAGCUAGUUGGUGAGGUAACGGCUCACCAAGGCGACGAUGCGUAGCCGACCUGAGAGGGUGAUCGGCCACAUUGGAACUGAGACACGGUCCAGACUCCUACGGGAGGCAGCAGUGGGGAAUAUUGCACAAUGGGCGAAAGCCUGAUGCAGCAACGCCGCGUGAGUGAUGACGGCCUUCGGGUUGUAAAGCUCUGUCUUUGGGGACGAUAAUGACGGUACCCAAGGAGGAAGCCACGGCUAACUACGUGCCAGCCGCCGCCGUAAGAC
rnacentral:rRNA from 1 species